GCAGAGCCCAUUAGGAAUCAACUGGUGGGGACCCAAAGCCUCUCUACAGCCUACUGGGGAAAUCCAGGUGCCUGACCCAAGAUGGUGAAGGUUUCCAGCCUCGUUAUUUUCUUCUGUGGGCUGUUUGUCUCAUCCACUGCUCAACUGCCCAUUCCCCAGGGUCCCGGAGGACUCCCAGGUACAGACUUUCUCUACAACCUGGAGAUGUCUGACGAACAAGAAUCAAUAAAGAACUUCUUCAGCAAAGCAAUAAACUCCAUGGAGUUUGAUGCCAAGUUC